rnacentral:rRNA from 1 species
CUACGGGAGGCAGCAGUGGGGAAUUUUGGACAAUGGGCGCAAGCCUGAUCCAGCCAUGCCGCGUGAGUGAAGAAGGCCUUCGGGUUGUAAAGCUCUUUCAGCCGGAAAGAAAACGCACGGGUUAAUAACCUGUGUGGAUGACGGUACCGGAAGAAGAAGCACCGGCUAACUACGUGCCAGCAGCCGCGGUAAUACGUAGGGUGCGAGCGUUAAUCGGAAUUACUGGGCGUAAAGCGUGCGCAGGCGGUUUUGUAAGACAGAUGUGAAAUCCCCGGGCUUAACCUGGGAACUGCAUUUGUAACUGCAAGGCUAGAGUACGGCAGAGGGGGGUAGAAUUCCACGUGUAGCAGUGAAAUGCGUAGAUAUGUGGAGGAAUACCGAUGGCGAAGGCAGCCCCCUGGGUCGAUACUGACGCUCAUGCACGAAAGCGUGGGGAGCAAACAGGAUUAGAUACCCGCGUAGUCCC